rnacentral:rRNA from 1 species
CCUACCCUAUGGACGGGGAUAACCUCGGGAAACUGAGAAUAAUACCCGAUAGAACAUUAUGCCUGGAAUGGUUUAUGUUUCAAAUAAUUUAUUGCCGUAGGAUGGGACUGCGGCCUAUCAGUUUGUUGGUGAGGUAAUGGCCCGCCAAGACUAUUACAGGUACGGGCUCUGAGAGGAGUAGCCCGGAGAUGGGUACUGAGACACGGACCCAGGCCCUAUGGGGCGCAGCAGGCGAGAAAACUUUGCAAUGUGCGAAAGCACGACAAGGUUAAUCCGAGUGGUUUCUGCUAAAGGAACCUUUUGUCAGUCCUAGAAACACUGAUGAAUAAGGGGUGGGCAAGUUCUGGUGU